rnacentral:rRNA from 1 species
AACGAACGCUGGCGGCAUGCCUAACACAUGCAAGUCGAACGAGACCUUCGGGUCUAGUGGCGCACGGGUGCGUAACGCGUGGGAAUCUGCCCUUGGGUUCGGAAUAACAGCGAGAAAUUGCUGCUAAUACCGGAUGAUGACGUAAGUCCAAAGAUUUAUCGCCCAAGGAUGAGCCCGCGUAGGAUUAGCUAGUUGGUGAGGUAAAGGCUCACCAAGGCGACGAUCCUUAGCUGGUCUGAGAGGAUGAUCAGCCACACUGGGACUGAGACACGGCCCAGACUCCUACGGGAGGCAGCAGUGGGGAAUAUUGGACAAUGGGCGAAAGCCUGAUCCAGCAAUGCCGCGUGAGUGAUGAAGGCCUUAGGGUGUAUAGCUCUUUUACCCGGGAUGAUAAUGACAGUACCGGGAGAAUAAGCUCCGGCUAACUCCGUGCCAGCAGCCGCGGUAAU